rnacentral:rRNA from 1 species
UACGAAGGGGGCUAGCGUUGUUCGGAAUUACUGGGCGUAAAGGGCGCGUAGGCGGCUCUGAUCGUCAGAUGUGAAAGCCCCGGGCUCAACCUGGGAAUUGCAUUUGAGACUGCAUAGCUAGGGUGCGGAAGAGGGAAGCGGAAUUUCCGGUGUAGCGGUGAAAUGCGUAGAUAUCGGAAGGAACACCAGUGGCGAAAAGCGGCUUCCUGGUCCAGCACCGACGUCAGGCACGAAAGCGUGGGGAGCAAACAGG